rnacentral:rRNA from 1 species
AAUAUUGCACAAUGGGCGCAAGCCUGAUGCAGCCAUGCCGCGUGUAUGAAGAAGGCCUUCGGGUUGUAAAGUACUUUCAGCAGUGAGGAAGGUGGUAGUGUUAAUAGCACUAUCAUUUGACGUUAGCUGCAGAAGAAGCACCGGCUAACUCCGUGCCAGCAGCCGCGGUAAUACGGAGGGUGCGAGCGUUAAUCGGAAUUACUGGGCGUAAAGCGCAUGCAGGUGGUUUGUUAAGUCAGAUGUGAAAGCCCGGGGCUCAACCUCGGAAUUGCAUUUGAAACUGGCAGACUAGAGUACUGUAGAGGGGGUAGAAUUUCAGGUGUAGCGGUGAAAAUGCGUAGAGAUCUGAAGGAAUACCGGUGGCGAAGGCGGCCCCCUGGACAGAUACUGACACUCAGAUGCGAAAGCGUGGGGAGCAAACAGGAUUAGAUACCCUGGUAG